ACUCCUACGGGAGGCAGCAGUGGGGAAUAUUGCACAAUGGGCGCAAGCCUGAUGCAGCAACGCCGCGUGAGCGAUGAAGGCCUUCGGGUCGUAAAGCUCUGUCCUCAAGGAAGAAUAAAUGACGGUACUUGAGGAGGAAGCCCCGGCUAACUACGUGCCAGCAGCCGCGGUAAUACGUAGGGGCAAGCGUUAUCCGGAAUCACUGGGCGUAAAGGGUGCGUAGGCGGUUUUUCAAGUCAGAAGUGAAAGGCUAUGGCUCAACCAUAGUAAGCUUUUGAAACUGUUAAACUUGAGUGCAGGAGAGGAAAGUGGAAUUCCUAGUGUAGAGGUGAAAUUCGUAGAUAUUAGGAGGAACACCAGUGGCGAAGGCGACUUUCUGGACUGUAACUGACGCUGAGGCACGAAAGCGUGGGAGCGGAACAGGAUUAGAUACCCUGGUAGCACAGAG
rnacentral:rRNA from 1 species